CCUACGGGUGGCAGCAGUGAGGACUAUUGGUCAAUGGACGAGAGUCUGAACCAGCCAAGUAGCGUGAAGGAUGACUGCCCUAUGGGUUGUAAACUUCUUUUAUAUGGGAAUAAAAUGUUCCACGUGUGGGAUUUUGUAUGUACCAUAUGAAUAAGGAUCGGCUAACUCCGUGCCAGCCGCCGCGGUAAUACGGAGGAUCCGAGCGUUAUCCGGAUUGAUUGGGUUUAAAGGGAGCGUAGGUGGAUUGUUAAGUCAGUUGUGAAAGUUUGCGGCUCAACCGUAAAAUUGCAGUUGAAACUGGCAGUCUUGAGUACAGUAGAGGUGGGCGGAAUUCGUGGUGUAGCGGUGAAAUGCUUAGAUAUCACGAAGAACUCCGAUUGCGAAGGCAGCUCACUGGACUGCAACUGACACUGAGGCUCGAAAGUGUGGGUAUCAAACAGGAUUAGAUACCCCAGUAGUC
rnacentral:rRNA from 1 species